rnacentral:rRNA from 1 species
CUACGGGAGGCAGCAGUAAGGAAUCUUCCGCAAUGGACGAAAGUCUGACGGAGCGACACCGCGUGAGGGAUGAAGGCUCUCGGGUUGUAAACCUCUUUUCUGGGGGACCAUUAUGAGUGUACCCCAGGAAUAAGCAUCGGCUAACUACGUGCCAGCAGCCGCGGUAAUACGUAGGAUGCAAGCGUUAUCCGGAAUCAUUGGGCGUAAAGCGUCCGCAGGUGGAACAGUAAGUUGAGCGAUAAAUACCAGUGCCUAACAUUGGUGCCUCGCUCAAAACUGCUGAUCUAGAGGAUGGGAGGGGCAGACGGAAUUCCUGGUGUAGGGGUAAAAUCCGUAGAUAUCAGGAAGAACACCAAAAGCGAAGGCAGUCUGCUGGAACAUUCCUGACACUCAUGGACGAAAGCGUGGGGAGCGAAAAGGAUUAGAAACCCCAGUAGUCC